CAAGCAAACCACUUGCCACAGGAAAGAGGACGGAAGAGCUAGGCUGUGGAGACAAGCAAUAAAGUGCCCUCCCGGUGACCUUACAGGCUCACAGCAGCCGGCUUGUAACUGCUCUGGGCCCAACAGAGAACACAAGCGUGGCAGUGGGGAUUGAGGAGAGCCCCUCCUUCCUGACACUUUCUCCUGAGCACUGCUGUGAGGAGAAGCUACACGGCUGCGGGGAAUCGGCCUUCAGAGGCAAGAGUUCCCCACAGUAGAUUUUGUUUUCUGGAAGUAAAUUAAUUGAACAACUGUGAACAAAGGUGGGGAAGUGAACAGAGAGAGCCUGGCAGGCUGAAGGAAGCAUCCAGAGCAGGCGUGGGUAAAGGUGGAUGAAACUUUCCAAUGAUUGUGACCAAUGGUAAAAAUAAAAUUAAUAGUAAUCCAAGACUUUAGCUGCAUCCAUGUGGAUCUCUGCGGACAUCAGCCAGCUGUUGAGGGGCUAUUAGAACCCAGGGAACCUGGAAUGAAGAUGAAGAAUUUCUCUCUGGAACUCACCCCCACUGGGCCCUGCAUGGCUGUGAACUCUCGCAUGAUACCACCACCUGGCAAUGCCCUCUGCCCCCCAGAAGUGCUGUCACAGCACUUGGACACAUCCUCAAUCCCUGCAUGCCUCGUCUGGAAAGGCUGAAGGAGAGGGCCUCUUGACACCCUCUCUAAGGGGCAGCCACGCCCUCCCUCCCUGAUAGGCCCAGGACGAUGGCAUCUGUGCUCAGAGCCAGGAUGAAAGUGAGUUUCAAAUCAAGAGCACUGCCACUAAUGGGAUCUGUUUUGUCCAUCUGUACCUGCCAUUUUGGUCUCUGUCCAAGGGCCUGGGGUAUAUAUCAGCUUCAGGGGCAGGAGCUCAGCUUGCCCUGAUUCUAAUGUGCCAUCAUGAUGAAGUGGCACAUGGACGCGCAUGCCCAGUUUGUGGGUACAUCAGGGGCAUGAGCACCUUCCAGUAUGGACAGCGAGGACGAGAACACUCAGAGGGCGCUUGCAGGGAGGACAGUUGGGGCACCUUGGCCUUGAAGAGAGGAAUUUUUUCCAUAUCUCUCCAUGAGAAAAGCUGGUCUGGAGAUAGGAAUGCUGGGAUAUGUCUGGGGGGGUUGCCUGCCCAUGAUCUUGCUGAUCCUGGAGAACGCAGCAUACCUUUAUGGGUCUUAGGUUUCCUUCUCUUAAAAAUGAGGGUUUGGUGGUAGUUGGAGUUUCUGGGGGUAGAUGGGUCUGUGAAGCUCCUGAGCCAUAUGGAACAUGCUGGGUAAGUGAUUUUAAUGUGUACACUUUCCCGGGACCAAAGUCUAUAAUUUUCAUCAAACCUCAGUAGCAGUUGGAGCAGGUAUUUCUCUGUUUCCCUUGACACCUGAAAACCCUCUUAGAGGCUGCAGUUCGGGCACAGGUCUCUUCCUGACACUAGUUAGGUCCCUCUGCUGGCUUUUCUCCCAACUCUCCCAGGCCACUACUUACUUUGAUUUUUGUUUCUUUUAUUUAAUUUUCCUUUCGCUGUCUGGACCAAGACUUGUUUAAUUUUCCAAUGAAUAGUGUCCAGUCUCCAUCUUCAGACAUGGUAAGACAAAGGUUUUCAUGCCACUUGAAACUCAAAACAGCCUGGUUACCGCAGUUGAAAUAUCAGAUCCAUGCAUUUUCAGUAACUUCUCAGGCUCAUGGAAGUAGAUGCUGGGAAAUUGGUGCUGGGUCCCCAGAUUCUGGAUUUCUCUUUUGUUCUCAUAUCUUUUGUUUUCCUCCUUCUAUGAGUUUCUGGUUUCUCUAGGUACAUACAAUAUCAGAUUUGGAAGCUGAUAUGAGAGAGGAAACAUUCAGACCUGCCUCCUCCUCUUGUCCAAACCUGUGGAUUCACUCUGGCUUUCUCCAGACAUUGUUAUUAGCAAUCCAUUUUGUUUAGAGACAGUUUUUAAUUUCUCAGAGCUCUCACUUAAUAGCUUGACAGCUCUGUCAGGAAGUUAUCAGGUGGGAUAACACACACGAAAGCACCGUGUCCUGAGACAGGUGAGGCGGGUAGUGAGAGCGCCAUUUUACAAGUGAUGAUGUGAAAGCACCGAGAAAUUAGGUAUAAGUUGGUGGAACACGCUAAGGCCAAGUCCAGGGGUUUUGGAAACAUGCAGACUGGGGACUGAGAACUGCUGUCCUUUGUUGACUGGCUGUGUGGUGUUAUAGUCUGGUGCUCAAAUCCUCUGCACCCUGCUUCCACACACAUAAAUGAGAACGUGACAUAAUGCUUAUGUCCCAGGGAAGCCAUGAGUAAUAGGGAAUUGUGAGCAUAGAGGCAAGGCGGUGCAGUGCCUGGCACACUGGCACAGAGUACUUGGCAGCCUUCAUCAUUUGGGGAAAGUGACCAUGGGGAUGGGCAUGCAUUCUCCUCCAUGGUGGAAUAUUUUUUUAUUUGCCUCUUGAAAGAAAGUUACUAGAAGAUCCUAGCAUGGCAACAACAAAAAGUCAGAGAUGGGAGGAAAAGGAAAACUCCUCCAGGGUACUUUCAAUUCAAUUUAUAGAUGAAGAUUUUAUAGCCCAGAAUUUUAUAUUUCUCCAAGACACACAGCCAUUUAGAGGCAGCAGGGGGGUCAAAAAUCACCCUCUCCCUGAGGGGUUUUGGGAUGCAGGGUUUUCAGGGCUAUACUGGAGGUUGUAGUGGACAAACUGGAACGAGCUGGUCAGUCUCAGCAGUGACGAGACAGAUCUUGACCUCCUGUCUUGUAGCCAGGUCGGUGGCGUUUUCACUUCAAAACAAAUGCUUAUUCAAGUGACUCUUUUCCAGGUGUUGGGGUUCAUAAAGGGCCUCCCAGUGACAGGUCUCCUCCAGUGCUGUUCUGGGCUGCAGAGACAGCCACAGGCCUUCAGCACACCCUCUGCUCCCACCCAGAGCUCACCCUUGUCAACAUCCAGAUUUUUUCAGAGCUCACAGUCAUGGGAGGCUUGGGCAGUGCCAGGAAUGGCGUGAGGCCCAGGGCACAAGCACUAGGUGCACAUGCAUCUGACAGCCACGGUGCCUCUAGGUUGUGACCUCGGGGACCUGCACCCAGGCCACACGAAGGUGACAUAGGAUAGGAAAUGUUGGCAGCAGCCUGGGCUGACUGGAAUGGAUGGGGCAGGUGGCAUUGGGGCUAAGCCAAGCUGGGAGAUGGGUGAGAGUGAGGAGUUGAGGUUGGUGUAAUAAAGUCCUCUCUGUCAAUGACAUGUCACACUUUCUACCUGGAUACAUAUGACUGACAAGGAACUUGUCGGCAGAAUGUACAAAGACUUGGUAUAAAUCAAUGAGAACAAAGGCAGUCCAUUAGGGGAAAAAAAAAAAAAAAGAACGCUUAACAAAAGCUAUCCAAAUACCUAGUAAUAAGCAAAGGUGCAAAUGUUUAAUGAGAGAAAUAAAAACUAAAGCAACAUACACGCACCCAAAAUGGUCAAAUGAACCCUGUGCUGGUGAGACCAGAGUACCCAGAAUGUCCAAGCUUGGCUGGUGGAGGAGGAAGAGGAAGCUGUGCUGGACAAUUGCUGGGCAGCAGCUCCGGAAACCAACCAUGCACACCCCAUGCACUGGGAUACAGUCCCCAGGCCUGGACCCGAAUAGAAACGAACAUUACGUGCACCAAGACAUAAAGAAAGCUCAUCGUGGGUUAUUGAUAAGAACCCUUAUCUGGAAAUAGCUCAAAUGUCUACCAACAGUGUGGUAAGUGUGUGAACGGUAAUAAUUACACAGUGGGGUGCUCGGUAAAAACAGGAGUGGAUAACUGAUCAUUGCCAUGUCUAACAACAUGGGCUAGACACGGGAAAGCACACAUUUGGCAUGUGAUUCAAUUUGUAUAAAAUACAAAUGAGGCAGAGCUAACCCAUGGUCUUAGCUGUCAGGACAAUGGUCCCUUUUGGAGCAUUAGUGACUGAGAGGGAGCUUGAGCAAGGCUCCUUGACCUGCGUGGUGGAUGCACACAAGGAUUUGCCUUUUGAAAAUUUUUGGAGAUGAGCUAGUAUUAUUAAAGUGCUUUUUGGUGUGUGUGUGUGUGUGUGUGUGUGUGUGUGUGUAUUCAAAACAUUUAUUUUAAACAAAGGAUGCAAUGCAUCAUCAAGUGUCUUUCCUCCACUUCCAUUUGGAGUAAAGCAUCUGGUUCUUGGGCUCCCUAGGAGGUUAACCUUCCACCCAGAGGUAUUGAGAAGAAAGGUCCCGCUCCUUUCCUGGGGGGACUGCCCCAGGGGCUGCAUGAUCCAGGAGCCACUGCUUUCCUCUCUGGGAUGGAGGCUUCAUGUACACUGGGCCAAAUGGCCCCUUCCAGCCCUGGUGUUUCAGGGCUUCCUCUCUAGAGAAACAGACACAUUAUCUGCUCAUUUCAUUCCGGACCCCAAAGAGUACCAAGCCAUCUGUUCUAGAACUUUAACAAAUUGACUCACGCCAAUCUCCUCUCUUCCUCCAGCCAUUCCACUUCAUUUUCAGGCCACUUAGUCCAUUUUUUCCCCCUUUUGUCCUUGGUUUUCAAGACAGCCCAUUUGGGCUGAGCCCUAUUUGGUGACAAGUUGUCAGAACAGCUCAGGCCCUAGUUCUGUUGUGUGAUUUAAGUAAAAAAAAAUUUGACUGGGGAAAUUAGAUGGAGGUGAUUGCAGCUAAAGUGCCUCUUAUUGAAGCUUUUGGAAAACGUAAAUGUCAUCAGUCUUGUCAAAGCUAGACCCGGGAGAAAAUAACAGGACUAAAGGCGGACCAGGAUACACGCUGGGACUGCACAAACUUAGAAUUAGCCUUCCUAUUUGUUAUUAUUUUUUUCCUUGUAAGUA